CCUACGGGUGGCUGCAGUAGGGAAUAUUGGACAAUGGGUGCGAGCCUGAUCCAGCCAUGCCGCGUGCAGGAAGAAGGCGUUAUGCGUUGUAAACUGCUUUUGCCAGGGGAUAAAAUAACUGUGCGCAGUUGAUUGAAGGUACCUGGUGAAUAAGCCACGGCUAACUACGUGCCAGCAGCCGCGGUAAUACGUAGGUGGCAAGCGUUGUCCGGAUUUAAAGGGUGCGAAGGGUGCGUUGGCGGCCCUGUAAGAAAUAUCUCAGCUUAACUGGGAGGGUGCCAUUGAGACUGCGGGUCUUGAGUACAGAUGCGGUAGGCGGAAUUGACGGUGUAGCGGUGAAAUGCAUAGAUAUCGUCAAGAACACCGAUAGCGAAGGCAGCUUACCAAGCUGUAACUGACGCUGAGGCACGAAAGUGUGGGGAUCAAACAGGAUUAGAUACCCCGGUAGUC
rnacentral:rRNA from 1 species